rnacentral:rRNA from 1 species
CCAGACUCCUACGGGAGGCAGCAGUGGGGAAUAUUGCACAAUGGGGGGAACCCUGAUGCAGCGACGCCGCGUGGGUGAAGGAGUAUUUCGGUAUGUAAAGCCCUAUCAGCAGGGAAGAACAAUGACGGUACCUGACUAAGAAGCACCGGCUAAAUACGUGCCAGCAGCCGCGGUAAUACGUAUGGUGCAAGCGUUAUCCGGAUUUACUGGGUGUAAAGGGAGCGUAGACGGCAGGGCAAGUCUGGAGUGAAAGGCAGGGGCCCAACCCCUGGACUGCUCUGGAAACUGUCCGGCUGGAGUGCAGGAGAGGUAAGUGGAAUUCCUAGUGUAGCGGUGAAAUGCAUAGAUAUUAGGAGGAACACCGGUGGCGAAGGCGGCCUGCUGGACUGCAACUGACGUUGAGGCCCGAAAGCGUGGGGAGCAAACAGGAUUAGAUACCCGAGUA